rnacentral:rRNA from 1 species
UGGCGGACGGGUGAGUAACACGUGAGCAACCUGCCUCUGAGAGAGGGAUAGCUUCUGGAAACGGAUGGUAAUACCUCAUAACAUAAUUGAAUGGCAUCAUUUAAUUAUCAAAGAUUUAUCACUCAGAGAUGGGCUCGCGUCUGAUUAGCUAGUUGGUAAGGUAACGGCUUACCAAGGCGACGAUCAGUAGCCGGACUGAGAGGUUGAACGGCCACAUUGGGACUGAGACACGGCCCAGACUCCUACGGGAGGCAGCAGUGGGGAAUAUUGCACAAUGGGGGAAACCCUGAUGCAGCGAUGCCGCGUGGAGGAAGAAGGUUUUCGGAUUGUAAACUCCUGUCUUCAGGGACGAUAAUGACGGUACCUGAGGAGGAAGCUCCGGCUAACUACGUGCCAGCAGCCGCGGUAAUACGUAGGGAGCAAGCGUUGUCCGGAAUUACUGGGUGUA